UUCAUCUUAACAAACUUUGAGAAACCAUUCUUUUUCUUUUUCUUUUUCUCUUUAUGUAAAUGGAAACAUGAAUGGACUGAUGAAUGGAUAAAUGAAACAAGCAAUUUGAUAAAGUUCAACUAAUUGUUGAUGCUCUUUCAAUCACACCUGACAUUCUUCUAUUUUUAGCAAUUGGGUUUUGCCAUGGCUUUAAACAAUUGACACAGCAUUUCUACAUCGUAUUAAUGUGCCAGGUGGAGGAAACAUUCUGCAGUCAAGUCUUGGAUUCAGAAACAAAGGCCCAGGGAUUCUUAUUUUGCUCACCCUGUUGUGUGUAUGUGAGUGAAUGUGAUGAAUAGAUUGAGUUUAUAAUCAAAGAAGUUGCACAAGUCUGACUCCACGAGUAGUCAACGGACGGCGUUGACCAAGUGAGAUGGCAGAGAAUCCUUGGCCUUUUACAGCUCUGCCAUGAGAAGAAUGAUCAAAUAAAAAAAUGUUGUGGUGAUUAAAACUAUCACCCCCAAUUAUGAUUUUAAAAUAUGGGCUUUGGUUCUCGUUUUGUUUUCUAUUUAUGAAGUGAUAGGCAUAUAUGACCAUUGUCUUCUCAUAAAUGUCUGGAUAGUGGGUAAGAUAUGUAAUAGAUUUUUAUUUUUAAAAAUGGGGGUUGAGGCUGCCAACAAAUCCACCCACACCACUGAUACUCUAAUUUGCAAUAGGACAUGACAAUCAAUUCACAAGUUCAAAACUAUUAUUUAGUUAUUGAGGCAUGAAAUCAGAAGGUGUAUUUAAUCAGAUGUGCUGCAAAAGUACCAAUGGUUUGUCAAGGAGUGAAUUAAGAGCA
rnacentral:lncRNA from 1 species